GAUGAAGAACGCAGUGAAAUGCGAUAAGUAAUGUGAAUUGCAGAAUUCAGUGAAUCAUCGAAUCUUUGAACGCACAUUGCGCCCGCCAGUAUUCUGGCGGGCAUGCCUGUUCGAGCGUCAUUUCAACCCUCAAGACCCCUUCGGGGGACUUGGUGUUGGGGACCGGCAUAGGGGCCUUGCGCCCCUCGCCGCCCCCGAAAUGAAUUGGCGGCCUCGUCGCGGCCUCCCCUGCGUAGUAGCACAACCUCGCAACGGGAACGUGACGGCGGCCACUGCCGUAAAACAACCCAAUUUUAUUAGAGUUGACCUCGAAUCAGGUAGGAAUACCCGCUGAACUUAAGCAUAUCAAUAAGCGGAGGA
rnacentral:misc_RNA from 1 species